rnacentral:lncRNA from 1 species
CGCACGGCGAGCACGGCACGGCGAACGGCAGGAGGUACAGCCCCGCCGACGUGAACACGGACACCGCGAGGGCGAGCGCCAGCUUCGCCAUCCGUCCCUUGGCAUUGAUCAGGUUGUACAGCCGGAGCACCUGGUGGAGGACGUGGUUGUAGAGCGCCCCGAGGACGCCGCCGAGGACGCCGACGAGCGUGACGGGGAGGAGGUCGCCGACGUGGUAGCGGACGGUGACAUCGCUGACGUCGAAGAGGAUGAGCCCGCCCUCGCCGAACAUGCCGCAGCGCCCGUCCCUGCACACCUCGAUGAAGCCGCGCAGCACCACCACGACGGUGGCCGUGCUGAAGAAGGUGCGCCACAGCAGCGCGCUCCGCCACCACGUCGCCACCUCCUCCAGCGCGAACAGCACGCCGCCGACGGGCGCGCGAAACGCCGCGCACACCCCGGACGACGCGCCGCACGUGAUCAGGUCCCGGCGGUCCCGGUCGUUGUUGAAGUAGCGCAGCCACCGCCAGCGCAGCCGCCA